GGGGGGGGGGGGGGGGGGGGGUGGGGGGGGGAGGGGGGGGGGGGGGGGUGGUGGGGGUGGCGGGCGGGUGGGUAACGCGUAAGAACCUGCCCUUGGGAGGGGAACACCAGCUGGAAACGGCUGCUAAUACCCCGUCGGCUGAGGAGCGAGAGGAGGAAUCCGCCCAAGGAGGGGCUCGCGUCUGAUUAGCUAGUUGGUGAGGUAAUAGCUUACCAAGGCCGUGAUCAGUAGCUGGUCCGGGAGGAUGAUCAGCCACACUGGGACUGAGACAAGGCCCAGACUCCUACGGGAGGCAGCAGUGGGGAAGUUUCCGCAAUGGGCGAAAGCCUGACGGAGCAAUGCCGCGUGGAGGUAAAAGGCCUACGGGUCAUGAACUUCUUUUCCUGGAGAAGAAACAAUGACGGUAUCUGGGGAAUAAGCAUCGGCUAACUCUGUG
rnacentral:rRNA from 1 species